UAUAAGCUGUCUCCGUCGAUAGUGUCUUUAUACUUCAGCUAUAUAAAGUACAUGCGAUCACUGUAGCGUCGGGACGCUUACGCGAAACGAACCUAGCGUAGAGAGGCACAAGCUCGACAUCGUUCCCCGUGUGGAAAUCUCGUUUGCUACGUGGGGCUUUGAAGGUUCACCAGAGUUUCCUCGAUGGACGUUGUAUAGUAGACUAAGUAGAUUUAGUUGCUUUAUUUAGCUUGUCGCUCCCUGUCAUAUUGAUCCUAGCUAAUAUCGAGUCUUGCUCCUGUUAGUGUCUCGUUGUCAGUUCCAUGAUAUCCUGUCGAUACGUUUAAUAACUGAUAAAGUGAAUUUUAACCUCAAAAUUAAUCCGUACACUGUACACGGCCAUGAUGCUUCUGCUCGCUCGACUAGAGUAGCCCGACGUUGGUUGGCCAUUUGUAAAUUGUCAAACGAAGUGUGUUUUAAGCCUGGUUAACUUUUUUAAAUAUAGUUUUAAGAUGGGAUAAACAGAGUUUAAACUACGAUUAACGUCGUAGGAAACGAGGAUGUUUUUCGAACUAUUAAUUCCCGUAGAAAAGUGCCCAGGUCUGCCAUUGGCCGAAGCGUAGAAACGCUGUACGUCACGUGACUCGCUGAAAAUGUAGAUCGAGCGCGAGGACGAGUGUCUGCAUUUCAAUGGCGUACGAAAGUGGAUGUGGACAAGUGUGAGAGACUGUGUGUAAUGGCAAGACGUAAAGGGACAGCAGGAAGAUGCUGGGAAGUGGAAUGUAUCAAAGUGAAUAAGGAUAAACAGAGAUAAGAAGAACGGACUAGGUUAUAGGCAGGAGAAAAUGUACCUGAAGGAAUCGAAUGGGACGAACGACGUUACAGUUGGUUUUCGUUUACUGCUUGAGUCGUACUGUUGGUACUACCGAAGCAAGUGGGCGGAGAGAAGCGUGCUGGGCUGUGGUAUAUAUACGAAUCGAGGGCGACAGAAGAGAAAGGGAGUGUGGAUAUGUAGAUUGGCAGGAGAGCCAUUUUUUCUCUCUUUCGAAAAGGCUCAACGUUACCUUUCUUUAUUUUUUCUCUCCUCUGCCCUGGCCUCUAUCUUUCUCCCACGCCAACCGACGCAAAACGCCCCUGCAAAACCCGUCUAAACUUUUCUGACGAGUGCCAGUAAUUAUAUUCUAAUUAAUUUUCUCCUCACGCACUGCUCUACGUGUUAUCCAAUCGCUUGGCAUCCUCCUUGUUACUACAUUAUACGGGCUUUGAGCGUAGUAACUUUUUUUCCACGAUACAUACCAAAUCCCUAAACGAUUAAUACCCCCAUGAAUUAAAAAAAAAGAAAGAGGAAGACGCAGAAAAAAGAUUUGCAAACAGAAUAUACUAGUGCACGAUAACAUAUAUAACCUCGGUCCAAUUAAAUGGAUACUAAAUGGGUUAACCAUUUACGAGGGUGACCAAUUUUAUAUAAGCUCCACUACAUUACCCUUGGGUGUACCUUAUGCUAUAGGGGUAGUACUGUUUCUUUCCAUGAAUUUACCAUUCAAAAUCCUAGCCUGUCCCACAAGUGCAGUACGGUGCACCUGAAAGUAAUUGAUAAAAAGUUUAUCACCAUAAAAUUCUCUUCCUCAGUUUCUCACCCCAUAAAAAGUCCUAUAUCAAUCAACACUCAUUAAUACUUUCUAAUUACCAGUACGAUAUCCUAUAACCAUCGUAAUACCAAAAUUCAAAAAUAAAUAGGUCAGUUUAAAUUUGAAAAAAAUUUAAAUCACGUCAAGUCAACUUCUGUCGAUAUAGAAAAUGUCUAGGUCGGGUCAGGUCGACCCGACUUCACGGCUUAUCGCAUUUUACUUUUCCACCAGGAAAUCCCAGAGAUUCUCGCGCGAGCACUUUGCCCGUGUAUCCCUCCGCAUAUCCACAAGCACACACACGUGAUACAUAUAUUUAUAUGCAUACGAGGUAACGCGUACACACAAUUUCCGUCGUUAUAAAUUUAAAUAGAAAAAUCCCACCGUAAUCCUCUCUUUUAAUGUUGUCCCUGACAUUAUUACGCGAUAUAAUAUUUUUAACGAACGAAUUCACAUUGUUACAGGCAAAUCCUUCAACUUGAAGAACCAAUGUGAAACUUUUCGAUAAGAAGUGCCACUACAACACGUUCGACUUUCGGUCUAUAGAUGCGCGCAUUAUAUAUCUGUCCCAUCCAACUGAACCUCGUUAUGAAGUAAUUGGAGGAUGAAAAAAAAGAAUAACACUACGAACUCAAGUAGCUCUAGUCUGUCUGUAGCUAGUACCGAAUGAAUACCCUUUGUGAGUGAAUACCGUUGGCGUACGUCCGCACCGGAUAUUGCGAACAUACAUGGAUCCACAUGUGGAUGGAUAUACAUGGUCGAAACAUCGUCCAUGCGAAUCCUCCAUAUAAGAGCGAGCCAAACAAUCCCGGCUAGUCGACAUUUCCAGUACAUAUUUAUCCAGUGCGCGUGUACUACAGACCCAAAUUGCUGGAAGGUUGAUAUAUGGUGAUGCAGGUGGCGAGGGUGUGAUUGGGUGGAGGAAAGGAGGGAUGUGACAGUAAUAUGUAUAAAUAACAAACAAAUAUUUCAUUUUUCAGUAUCGACCAGGAGGAGCGUUGAAGGGAUUUGUGUAACCAUAGAAGUAAUGAGAUGUCAAUACGUGUAUAAGGGCUGGAGACAGGUAAAAGUAGCCGGGGGCUAAUUCGAGGCAGCAUCGGCAAUGCGACGCUCAGCACCGCGACGCCUGGUAAUGAGGCUUUAUUUAAAAUAUCGAGGUCAGCCGUCAACCUGCUCUUGAUGGUUAUGUUGGAUCCGUUAGAUCUGUGAAACAUGUGGCAAUGGACAUGUCGAGGAAACGUAAAGGUAAAAGGGACCAAUUGUCAGUGAAUCUGAGUGGGGUGGACCAAGGGGAGUGAAUCAGGAUACAGCUGAUGGUGUAAAGGAAAAGGGACGUGUAGGAAGAGCAGCCGGGGUGAUAAACGGAAGGUUUACAAAUAUAUGAUGGCGUCGUGAUAUCUACACUGGACACCUCGACGCUUGACGUCGCUUCUACAGCAAUUCUGUUGUUACAUGGUAUAUUGCAUUACCACUGAGGGUUUUUAGGCGUCGCGACGCUCGGCAAAUUUAAUCAAGCGGAAAUAUUCGGUAAAGUGUAAAGGAAGACGGGCAACGGUGUCGCGACGCCGUUCAUUGAACAAAGGCGCCCGGCGCCCAUGAAAACGGCACGCGACGAAUUGCUCGCAGGAGAAUACCGAAAACACGCGGUUACUUGAGAGACAAUACUCGUGGAAAAUGGUGCUGCUGUGUUGGACCAGAGAGAGAGAGAGAGCGAGGAAAACAAAUGCAGUCAAAGGGAGAGAAGAAAUGGACGGGUUGAAAGGAUUGAGAUAAACGACUAUACCAAUGGAUGUAAAUUGCUGCUGGAAUUUUAACGGUGGAAGCGCGAGAGUUAACUUGAAUAAUCGAACGGCAAAAUGGCGCCAGAAGGUAAUAUCGAAAUUGUACUUACCAUAGGAACGUAGGAUGGAUUACAGAGUAUCAGAUUAUCGUAAUCUGCCUAUAUUAUGGAUACGUGUACGUAUCUCUCAUUAAAAUACCGUUCUGCUGGUGUUAUUGGAUGCAUACGUAACGUGGAUAUACGUACCCCUAUGGUUAUACGUAUCUGAAUGUUUACUUGAGGUAAUAAAAAACCUUAGGAUGCACAUACGAGGCUUUGUGCCUGGUACAACAGAUGCUCCAAUUUGUCAAGGGUGGAUGAGACAUUUUAUUUCUCUUGUUUUACCUUGUCUCUACAUCCCCAGACCAUAAGCAAAAUGUAGAGGAAGCUUGACGCAGGAGAAAAACAAAAAAUUACAAUUGAAUUUACACGAAUGGUAAUAAAAUUAUAAAAAAUUGUAUACACCAGCGUAAAGGCUAAUUUAAUUGAUUUAAACGCAAUCGCAAACUGGACUCGACGGUGGAAUAAAUAGGCCCUGCUUCCCACGGUAUCAACGAUUCCCUAAUAGUCCAGCUGGCUUUGUACAGGCUUGAUUCUUGUCGCCGGAACGCCCUGCUGAUUAGGUCAGGCUAGAUAGCCUGGCAGGACCAUAGCAAACCGAACGACGCAAAGCUGACCGCAAACAAUAAUCCCAGAUCGUGGAAGUAACAUGAAUCGUUGGUCAAAUCGUAUAGUCUGUGGUGGCAGUGGUCGUUGCUAAACGAGGAGAAGUACAGACAUGGAAAAUAAGAGAGACAGACCCAAAAUCCAGAAACGAUACCAGUAUCGAUAUACCCAAAUGGUCCUGGUGCACCUGGUCACCCUGUUUCACGCUGCUCUCAUCAUCAUUUGGAGAACGAAAUCCCGUAGUCUGCACAAGGGGUGUCUAGUGGUUCACAGAAUGUCUCUCUGGUAUCCUCGUAUACGUAUACACCCCUGGAGACACCUAAGUGUAUACUGAUUGUGAGCCAACCCUCCCAGCCGUUUCAUCCCGUUAGAACCAAGUCAGAGCAACGGCCCAUUUCUGCUCCGGUGUAGUCGCAUUACGUAUUAGAAGCAGUAGGCUAGGUUGUCUUCCAUUAUGUAAUGGUCCAUUGUACGGUACAAUCCUCCGCAAGAGAGAAAUGUCACUGUUGUGCAUAUACGUACGUGACCGCAUAUGAGGAUAUAUACACUGAGUAUAUAGAAAGAGCCAGGUUCGGAUCGUAAUUAAAGGAAACUGCAGCAAGUGAAAUUAUUCAGGAAGUUCAAGAAGGACCAUUGUAAAAUUUACUGUACAGUACAACACUGUACUCACACGCUUCCUUCGCGCCAUCAGCUACGUGCCAUUGCGACAACCGCUGUGAUCUUCUCCGGAGUGCCAGAAAGAAAUUGGUUCCGGAUGCUGUGAGUGACCAGUAGAUUUUAAUAAAUCUGGACCAUUUCUAGUAAUCUUGUGUAAGAGAAAGGAAUAUGAAAAAAAAAAAGCUCAUAGACAAGAAUCCUGAAAUUCUCUUAUUACAAAGGAGGCCAAGCGAGAUGAAUUCAUCUUCAUAAGGUAGAAGCACUCGUUUCGUUUGCAUGGGUCCUUGGAUGUACAGUCCGUAAUAAGGAUCGACCUAGAAGUGAAGUCAGCAGCAACCAAUUUUAUUCGAAUCUUCUCUUAGUACCAUAUUCCGCCGAAGUGACAGUAUUUAUUGGACAAUACUGUGCAUCGCUGUUCAAUUUGAUGACAAUUGUACCUCCACUAUUCCUGUACAACCGUAUAACCAAAAUGCAUAGCGACGUUGGCGUUACGCUGAAAUGGUAACGCCGACGUUUCGAUUUCGUAGCAACAAUGCCAGCGUAAUUGGAGCGCAUUUAUAUGAAUAUAAAUGUUGAUAGCAGGAUGGUAGUCGGUUGCUGGAGUGACAGGAUCCUCCUGGAUUUAUCAUCUGGCCAGAUUGUACACAUAUAUCAAAAUUGAUGACUACAGACUGAACUCCAAUCCGAAUUGCUCCCGGAGCAAUUCCUGUGCCACCCUCUCCAGGAACUAGCCCCCCUUGUCACCGCCGCCGGUUUCUCCAUCCCUUUCAGCCAGCACAUUUUACUUAGUUAUACGAAAAUUUUCAAGUCUAUUCUUCAGACCUUUUACUGUCCAAACUGCCCGGUGCAGCUGAGAGGUGCGACGAGGACGAGAUGUCACGGGUGACGACGAGAACAGUGCCGUAGGCGUGGAUUAGCAAGUGGAAAUCCCUAAAGCAGUUUUUGCACGUGGUUCGCGCGUGGUAUGCACGACCUAACCUCUCAUCAGGAGCAUAGGAGUGAAACUAGCAGCAGCAUGAGGAGGGUGGCUGAUACCGAGAGUCCCAUACCCCUCGGUUAAUACUGCGACAGGAAGGUCGUUGGGUUUUGCACGGGACACAAUGCUCGGAGGUCCAUGCAAGGUUGUACGAAGGGUGGCCGAAGAGGGAGGUCGAAGGUAGAGGGUUGCUGGAAGUGUGGUACAGGAGGAAGUGUCGGCAUGGAUGGGACAAGACGCCUUCUACUUCCAUUCGUCCAGCUGCUAGAAGCCCAUGUUGUCUCAACUCAGGAUAGAGACUCCGGUACCUCUACGACAAUCCUAAUCAACUUUAAAGGAUCUUAUCCGAAAUUGAUGCGCUCACCGUUCUCAUCAGACAAUCCAUUUGCCAUCAUUCACCGAUACCAGGAGUACAGCCAAAUCUUAACCUGAGGCUAUUCCCACCUUCAAGUUAUACUCGAUUUGGAAGACCACCAGCUCCCUUCCGACAUCUUGAGGGAUCUUGAGGUCGAUAAGGUUUAGAAGCAUAUCCAAGGGUGAAUUUGAUCUGCAAUCAUUUUAUCGGCUCAUGUUUAUUGCCUCAAUUCCAUUUUGUCUUUUUACCAUAUCGUUCGAUAAAUACAUGAGACUUUAAUUAAAAACUUGUACUUGAAUGUUAACGGUGUUGGUAUAUCCGCUAUAUAAAUCCAGUAUCAUUAACUGUUUUUACUAAACACUAUUUGUACAUAGGGGCGCAUAUAUUGUAUCUGGCAAUAAAAUCACAGGCAUAA